rnacentral:rRNA from 1 species
UACAGAGGUCUCGAGCGUUGUUCGGAUUCAUUGGGCGUAAAGUGUGCGCAGGCGGCUGAGCAAGUCGAGUGUGAAAGCCCCGAGCUUAACUUGGGAAUUGCGCUCGAAACUACUUGGCUGGAGUGUGGCAGAGGAAGGUGGAAUUCCACGUGUAGCGGUGAAAUGCGUAGAGAUGUGGAGGAACACCAAUGGCGAAGGCAGCCUUCUGGGCCAACACUGACGCUCAUGCACGAAAGCGUGGGGAGCAAACAGG